CCAUAAAAUUUGUUACCCAAAUUUCCCAUUUCUUCCUUUUUUUGUUACCCACUCAUUACUCUCUCUUCUUCUCAUCUUCGUCAUGCCCUAAAUCCCCCAAAUAACUCUCAAAAUUUACCCCCAAAUUUCCAAUUUCCAGCAACACAAGUCAAUACACCUACACCAAUCACACUUCUUUUUCCUUUUCAUUUCUUCAAAGGUAGUAGUAGAAAAGGGAGUUCUAGGAAAUCUGGUCGAGAUUCGGCUGAGAAGAAAGAGUCAAUGCUCAUGCUAGGGUUUUGUUGAUUGUUUGAUUUUUAUUGUUUUGUUUAUAUGCUUUUACAAAUUUUAAUCUGAAGAAAUCUUAGCUCCGCUUUUACAACAAUGGAGCGCAAGGCUAUUGAACUAGAUCAGGGAUGGGAUUAUACGAAGAUUUUGAUUUUAUAAGAGUAUAAUAAUUGCGCUCAAGUCGUCAAAUUCAUAUUUUGCGGUGGGUAUUGUAUAGAUUAUUAUUUAAGGAUUGGCUCGAUUCCGAUUUCAUCACCAUUUUUAUAUCUCAAAUGAUCUCUCUGUAACCGCUUGCUGUUAAAUUUUAUAGAAGACACUUCCGCGAUUACUUUCCCUUCAUAUUUGAAGGUUUAAUAUAUUGAUAGUUGGAAACUAAAAACAAAAUGGGAAGGAUAUUCAUGAUCACUCUUGAAGGACGCGUUUAUAGCUGCAAGCACUGCUUUACCCAUCUGGCUCUCAUUGACGACAUUAUUUCUAAGUCUUUCCACUGCGGGCAUGGAAAGGUUUGUCUCUUUGAUAAGGUUGUCAGAAUAACCUCGCAGAGCUGCAAAAGUUGGUACAUAUUCAAGCAGCAUGUUACUGCUAAAGGUACAACCUUGGUUCAACAGGCAGAAGAUGCUGCUUCAAAUGCUCCGGGUGUGCAAGAACAGGUCCUUAUAAGGAAAAUAAUCAAGCUGCACGACAAGUAUAUGGCAUAUGUGGCCGACUGUUUUCAAAACCAUACUCUCUUCCACAAGCUGCACAUCCUGGGAUUGAUUUGACAGUGACUGUUCUUACAACAAGAUUCUGGCCAAGUUAUAAAUCAUUUGCGUCUCCUCUUUAUUUACUUUCUUCAUCUUAUGAUGGGAAAGUAAUGUUGUGAGAUCUAAGAACAGCGGAAAAACCAACUACACUAGAUUGCGGUCCAAGAACAAUUUGCAGGAGGCACAUGAUGACUAGCUCCUACCUCUACGAAUGCUUGUGGGAGGCAUUACAGCAGCGAAUAAGGAUGAUAACAUACAGUUGACACCGUAUGUGCUAUGAAUCCGAAUUCAGGUUGACUUUUAGAUAUUUUAUGUGCAAAAAAGUAUUAGAGUGUCUUAUGUUUGUUGUUAGUUAAGCAGAUUAUAGAUAGAAUCUGCAGUAGGAUCAAAUAAUUAGUUGAUCAAAAGCUACACCCUAUUUUGUAAUCGUCUACUUGCAUUUUUGCAUAUACUUAAUAAUAAUCUCGUGUCAACUAAUUAUUCUAA